GGCCAGACUCCUACGGGAGGCAGCAGUGAGGAAUAUUGGUCAAUGGCCGUAAGGCUGAACCAGCCAAGUCGCGUGAGGGAAGACUGCCCUAUGGGUUGUAAACCUCUUUUAUGCGGGGAUAAAGGUGUCCACGUGUGGAUGUUUGCAGGUACCGCAUGAAUAAGGACCGGCUAAUUCCGUGCCAGCAGCCGCGGUAAUACGGAAGGUCCGGGCGUUAUCCGGAUUUAUUGGGUUUAAAGGGUGCGCAGGCGGAAGAGCAAGUCAGGGGUAAAAGUGAGGGGCUCAACCUCUGCGAGCCGUUGAAACUGGUUUUCUUGGGUGAGUGAGAAGUAUGCGGAAUGCGUGGUG
rnacentral:rRNA from 1 species